rnacentral:rRNA from 1 species
GACGAACGCUGGCGGCGUGCCUAACACAUGCAAGUCGAGCGGAGUUAUGCGGAUGAAGUUUUCGGACGGAUGAAGCAUAAUUUAGCGGCGGACGGGUGAGUAACGCGUGAGCGACCAACCUUACACAGGGGGAUAACGGAUCGAAAGAUUCACUAAUACCGCAUGAGACCACAGCAUCGCAUGAUGCGGGGGUCAAAGGAGCAAUCCGGUGUAAGACGGGCUCGCGUCCGAUUAGGUAGUUGGUGAGGUAAUGGCCCACCAAGCCUAUGAUCGGUAGCCGACCUGAGAGGGUGAUCGGCCACAUUGGAACUGAGAGACGGUCCAAACUCCUACGGGAGGCAGCAGUGGGGAAUAUUGGGCAAUGGGGGAAACCCUGACCCAGCAACGCCGCGUGAGGGAAGAA